GUCCACGCCCUAAACGAUGGCAACUAGUUGUUGGAGGAUGAACUCCUUUAGUAACGCAGCUAACGCGUGAAGUUGCCCGCCUGGGGAGUACGGUCGCAAGAUUAAAAACUCAAAGGAAUUGACGGGGGCCCGCACAAGCGGUGGAUGAUGUGGUUCAAUUCGAUGCAACGCGAAAAACCUUACCUACCCUUGACAUGCCAGGAAGCCCGAUGAGAGUUGGGUGUGCCCGAAAGGGAACCUGGACACAGGUGCUGCAUGGCUGUCGU
rnacentral:rRNA from 1 species